AAUUAAAACAAAUAAUACAGGUAAACUUUUUUUUACUUAGGUGGACAAAGCAAAUGGAAAACGUUUUGUUGAACAUUGCGUUUAAUCAAUUGCUAGAUUUAUUUUUUUCUUCGUCGUGAUACCAAGCUUGAAUGCUCGCUGUGAUACCAAUCUUCUUCUUCGGCGUGAUUUCAGAGAGAAAAUUAUCUGGUGAACGUGUGCAGUUUAGCCGAGACCAAUUGCUUCAGGUCAAACAUCAGUUGGUUCAAGUCUCUGAUGAUAUCCUGAGGCGCUGUAAGGAAAUCGCAGUUGAACUUUUUGCCGAAGAUCAGAGUUGAGGGAAUCGUGCAACCAAGAGUAAAUUUUUGGUCUUAUUAGCCAACAAACCAGCCUCAGAAUCGUUAUUCCCACCCGUCACUGGCAUAGUCGUCCGCAGAUUCCAACCUCUAGUAAAAAAUGGUUAAGAGACGACUCUCGUGAACCUAAAAAUACAUCUCAAUGGUCUGGUCCUGCCCCUGUGCUGGUGAAAGCAGAAGUCCCAUGGUCAGCUAAAAGAGGAGCUCUUUCAGAUCAAGAUCGAGUCCUCAAAACUGUGAAAGGUAUUCUGAACAAGCUUACUCCGGAGAAGUACGAGCUUCUUAAAGGUCAAUUGAUUGAUUCUGGCAUCACUUCUGCUGAUAUCCUAAAGGAAGUGAUACAGCUGAUUUUUGAGAAUGCUAUACUGCACUCGACGUUCUGCGAGUUGUACACUUGUUUGUAUUUUGAUAUUAACGGAAAGCUUCCUUCGUUUCCACCUGAGGAACCUGGUGGCAAAGAAGUAACUUUCAACAACAGGGGAUACACAUUGAUGAAAUUGCUCAGCAAUUGAAGAUCCCAAAGAACAAGCUAAAGGGAGUUAUCCAAUCACUGGAAGGAGAUGGUCUAAUAUAGUACUCGACAAUCGAUGAGUAUCACUUCAACUAGAGUUUGGUUAAUCCGUAUGAGAGAUAUUUUCAAUUUCUAGAACCUAGGAUCACGUUUAUAUAGCUCACUUCUGUUGUUUCAUAGGACAUGUCACCAAUUCUCGCUUAGGGGUAUACCAUUUUUUUUUAAAGAGUAAAUAUGUAUUUCAAUUUAA